rnacentral:lncRNA from 1 species
ACUUGUGAGAAAAACAUUUUGAUGGUCUCUUCACCAAGGAAGGCUAAAGAGUGAUGUUUUAUUUUACCUGUGUUGAAGACCGUGCUUCUAUGAGUAGAGACAAUACCUACAUAUCUGGCUGAAAGAUUGGGAUGGAAAAGGAGAUUGACUGGAAAGAUAAGAUUUAGGAACAAAAAGUCAAGCCUGGUAGAUGACAUAGAUACUAGCUUCUUACUGCGUAAACCAAUUGUGAAGAUGCAUUUCUUAACUUAUUAAGUACUCAGAUAACAUGGAGACGAGCAUCACAAGAAAGUCCAUCAAAGUGUUAAGUUUUUGCCUCUAAAGUUCUGCCUUAAUUUAAUUAAUUAAUUAAAGUUCUGCAUUAAUUUAAUUAAUGAUUCCAGGACAGAAGGUUUCAGGACAUCUGCACACUAAGCAGUGGAGAUUAAACCAUUGCUUUCUAUUAGGGAAGAUUUAGAUUGGAUAUAAGAAAGAAUUUUUUUAUAAUAAGGGUGGUGAGGCACUGGAACAGGUUGCCCAGAGUGGUGGUGGAUGCUCCAUCCCUGGAGACAUCCAACAUCAGGCUGGAUGGGGCCCUGAGCAACUCGGUCUAGUUGUAAUGUCCCCAUUCAUUGCAGGGGAGUUAGGCCAAAUGGCCUUGAAGUGUCCCCACCAACUCAAACAAUUCUAUGAUUCUAUGAACCUAGCUGUUCUCUAGGAGAGCACAGUCCGAACAGCUACUGAGGGCUUACCACCCUGAACUAAGGCACGAUGGUUAGGAGACAUCAGAAGUUCUUUUGCUGCUGAAGAUUUACCAUUACCUACAGCUAUGAGUAGGAGCCAGUUUGGGCCCAUGUUUGCGUAGAACUUGUUGAGACACAAGAAAGUACCUUCUUUGUGGUUCCCAUUUAAAAGCAGAAGUGUAAAACAAGCCAAGAGCUCUAAAAACCCAUUUGUUCAGGAGAGUAGCCCAGUGCAAUGAUCAGAGAAGGGCUGCCUUCUGCAGGCACUACUAAAAACCCAGCUAUAGUGAGACUGCUGCCAAGCAUGGGCAUAGCCUGAGUGAGGUCUUGAAACAUUUAGAAGGGGCUUUUGCAAGGUGGACAGUCUGAAGAAAACAUCUCCAUUACUCAGAAGACCACCUGUUUGCAGGAGUUACUGGGAAUCUGGGUACAGAGUCACCCAUGGCCCAUUUGUCCUCUCACCAUUAGUUUGGUGCUGAGGUUCAGCCCUGAGCCACAUAGGUGAUAACAUAACCAAAGGAGAAAGGAAAAACCUCUUUCUUAUAGAGAUGUAUGUUAGUUUCCAGUUCUGAUUAAAUAUAUCCCAGCUGCUAGGAACAGCUGUGAAAGAUUCUUCUCCUUUGCUUUUUUUUCAAGUGUGAUGUAUUCCUCCUCUUCACCAUUGCCUGGUGACGGGGGGGGGGGGAAGAAGAGCCUCAGAUAAAAGCCUUGCUCCAGGGCAAGCAAAGAUCCCAACUGCAGUUUUGCAUAAAUCUGUCACUUGGAUUCUCUGGAGAACAACUGCAAACUUGAAAAAUAGCGUAGUGCAGCAGGCACAGGUGUGGACUCCUCUCUCUCUGUAUAUAUAUAUAUUUCAAAUAAAAGUAGCUGUGAACAACCCCCAGAACAUGACUUGCUUUCACCCAGCUUUCAGCUUUGUUAGUUCUUCUAAAACUAUCCCUGCGUUGAUAAACAUGUUAUUAGUAAACCAGAAAUGAAACGAUAAUGAGAAAAUUGUCCUGUAAAAGAAAAUUGUCCACCAUAAAAUCCACAACGACCAUCCUGCAGUGCUUCUGCUGCUUUCUACUCCCUCUAGGACAAUCUGUGAGGGAGCUUUUGCUCUCUGUUACUUUUAAAUGCAAAUACAUCCAAGAUUUGCUGGGUUUGGCUUGGGGCUGGAAGGGCGGCUUGUGAGGAAGCUCAGUAAUAUCUUUCACCCCAGGGUCAGCUUUGCAUCCCACAGUAAAUUUGGCUGCUUCACUUGAAACAAAGACACAGUGUUGUUCCAUAGACUUUUCUCCUCCAUCCAUGCACUUUCAUCCCCAAGUGCCUUGGCUCCAAGUGGCUGGAGUACAGGGGGCCAGCAGAGGUGGCUGCGUGGGCUGAGCUCAUCCAAGGCUCCCGACAGGCUCCUCUGGCCCCCCAUGCCCUACCUUUGUCCCUAAAUCUUUCAUGUUCUCAUCAAGCAGGAGGGUGUUUGGUGUUUGGUUACUGUCUCCAUUGUAAGGGAGGAAAUUGCUUUUGCAACUGCGGUCCCAGAGGCUGUACUUUUCUUUUGCAAUUAAACCCUUAUCAGACCUCACGCUGCAGUGAUAACGUUGACUGAAUAGGUGUUUGCUGACAGACAUUGACCUGCAGCCUAAAUAAUGUAAGGAAAAUGCUUUUGAGUUUUUUGGCUUUUUUAAAGUCCUUGCCUAGUUCAUGGCUGAAGCCGUAUUUGCAGUAAAUAAAGUGAAAUUAUUUAGGACUGUAUUGGGUACUACUAGCAUCUGUGUCAAAGCCACUCUCUAGGCAUGAUGGGGUGACUUUGUUGUGGGAGCACGAUCUGACAGGGCUGAAUACCAUUUUUUCACCCCAGCACUUAUGGUGAAGAGCCAGAGCACCCUGCUUGCUCUGGCAGCGGGAGAGCUAUAAUCCUACUCAGUCUGAGGAAAUGGUCCAUCCACCUAAAGGGCAGUUUUGCAUUUCAGUGCUGUUGUGUUGAAAGCCGAAUUAAUAACAAGGUUUGGCCAAGCUCUGCAAAAGUUGAAACCUGGCUUCUGGCUCAGUUUCUGUCUGACAAAGAGCAAGAUUUUUAUGUUCCUUUCAGCAGCGUUGCUUCGCAUUGCAGCACGCAAGCUGUGGGUGGCUUCUCUUCAGAUUGAGAAUACCGGUGGGUCUCGUGAGUCAUGGUGGGAGGGUGACAUGGGGUUGGAUUUUAAAAGGUGAAGAGUCAACGUUUGUGAAGCUUCUACAGCCUAUGCAAUUAAUUUGUAACAACAGAGCUAGCAUAAAUCCUACCACUGCUGCGCACAGCAGCACCUGGUGAUGUGGCUGUACGGCUGGGAGAAGUGCCAGAAAAAUAGAGGAAAGAAAUGUCACUUGUAUCUUCGUGAAGGGGAAGAAGGUGUACUUAGGGAACUGCAGGCCUGUCAGCCUCACUAUGAUCCCUGGGAUGGUGAUGGAAAGCCUAAUUCUGGAAAACAUUUCUAAGCACAUGAAGGAGAAGAAAACCUCCAGGAGUAGUCAGCAUGGCAAGUCGCACCUGUCCGAACAGAUAAGCUUCUAUAAGGAAUUCACCAGCCUGAUGGAUGAAGGAGGAGCAGAGGACAUUGUCUUCCCAGUCUUCCUUAAGGCCUUUGACACCGAUCCCCAUAAGGUCCUAGGGCUGAGGAGUCAUGAUGGACAUCAAGAUGAACUUGAGGCAGCAAUGUGCUGUUGAUACUAAGAAGGCUCAUGGUAUUCUUGGCUGAAUUAAGGCAGUUGGCAAAGUGAUGAGUCCUAUAUGGACUGGCAGAUGCAGAGCAUUUUAUGAAGGAUGAAAAAAAUGCAAAGAAAGACAGUAAAACAUAGCUGACUCAGCAAGCUGGGAGUUGGAUUUGUGACACUGGGGUGUAAUUCCUUUCUCUGCCACUGACUUCCUGUAGCACUUUCGAUGGGGUACCAGAGGAUAAAUAAGUAAACGUAUGACUUUUUCUCAUUAUAUCCCAGAUUCCCAUUUGUAAUAUAGAGAUAACAUCAUUUUAUUUGAACACAGUGGUGUAUUAAAGCAGAGAUCCUGGGGUUUCACAGUAACAGAGUCAUAGAGACUAUAUGAAAAAAGCUCGUCUGGUUUUCUGUAGGAAAGACUACUAACAAAGAAUUUAUAACUAUCAAAUCAAGGAAAAGAAAUGCAGCAGUGAAAGGUUCAGAAUUGCUAACUGUGUGUUGAAAGGUUCAGGAAAAUGCCUGGAGUUGUGAGUAGGUGCCAGAGAAUUUAAUUAUGAUAAUAAAACUUCUAGGAAGACGUAAAAAUGCUGGAAUGAUCAAAUCAUGUUUAAUUACGAGGAACAUUUUUUGUCUUGGUAACACAGCACUGUAAGGAAUACAUGUGUUGCCUCCAGAAAUGUUAGGGGCCAGGAUGUCAUUCUUUCAGAAACAAAGCAGACAAGAACUUAAAAAAAAAGAAAAGUCAAAGAAAAGCUAAACCAAACAAAUGCCUCACAGGUCAUGGUAGAGCACCCAGAGCUUUGUAAAGAAGGCCAGGGGAAACUCCCUGAGAAGACACACUCUGCUCAGGUAGGAAUUCCUCUUUGCAAUCUUUGUAGGAACAGACAAGCCUCUUCCCUUCUUUCUUCCUGUCCUCCUGGCUCUCAUAGAUAGCUCUUUUAAAAAUGGACUUCAUGGUUGGAGCUCCUUUUCCUCAGGUAGAGCCACACUGACUCCCAAGGGCAAUGGGCAAAGUCAUGAGGCUAACAGUGCCUGCUGCAGUGGAGAGCUACACAACCUCGACUUUGCUGACAUGUUUAAAGGUUUGUUCAACAAACUCUUACUCGUUGCAAAAAAAUCAUUCAUAAAAAGUCAGCCCUGACAGCAUGUUGGCACAUGCACAACUACCUAAGCUCUCUGUGUAGGAAGUCCAGGUCACCAGUGACAGUUUAGGGCUGUGCAGUUUCAAGAUGAAUUAAUUGCCUCUUGGGUUUCCCUUGGCUCUGCAAGGCUUUUCCUGGGUUUGCACACACUGCCAGCUGCUGCACAGAAAGUCAGCAAGGAAAAAUAGGGCUGGAAGAGGAGAUACGGAUGGGCCCUGUCUAAUCCAGCUCUGGGUUGGUUUGCUUCUGGAAAUCAUGAUCCCUUUGUGCUGCAGUUUCUGUUGUGCUGUAGGCCAUUGAAAAGAAAUAAUAACAAGAACACAUGGCAAGCAAUGCAAAUGAAAGGCUUUGGUCUGUGCUGUUUGAGAGAAGGGCUGCAAACUCCACCCUGCCAAAAGGCUGCACUGGCUGGGCUUCUCAGGAACUUACCCUUAUGGCUUCAGCAAGUUCACAAACUGGGCCCACAACUGCAGCCUCUGUUGUUCCCUUAAAAAGGAAGAUUCGAUACACAGCAGUGGGAUUCCUACACACAUCAGUAUGGAAAGUGUUCUUGAUUCUUAUACCUCAUGGCAAAUAUUUCUUGUUGAAAUGACAUAUAACUCUCCAUGGGGUAACUGCUUUGUUGCAGCACAUGGCUUGUCCUCAACAUGGUACACAAAAGCCCGGAAAUGAUGAGGGUUCAGCUUCUUCCCAGGAUGCUGUCCUGAUGGAUGUUCCGAUCCCUCAGCAAUAUUUGAACACCCUUAUUCAAGCUGUCGCCUUAUUGCUCUGCUUAGGAUUCAGAAUGCUUUUCCUGGAUACUCUGCAAGAGGAUCCCUGGAGAUCCCAUGAAAGAUACAAAAUCUUUACGUUCUGUUUUCUGUCUCUUGGCUACAAGAGUGAUGCUGUUGUGUGUCUCAUAGAUCCUGGCAUUAAUUCUCAGUGGCCUUCUUUUGCUUGCUAUAUCCUAAUGUCUCAGAUAUGACUUACACCUUUACAACAAGUUCGUAGGUAAUCCAUCCCAUCAGAACAACACAAACCUCAGAGCAGCCGCCUGUUCUCAGUAUUUAUAAGCAUGUUUCAUCCAGAUUCCCAGAGCCAUUGCUUUCAAAGAGGACAACAUGAAGGCAACUUCUGUCUGUAAA